UUUGUCUCAGGCCAGCCUUACAGAAAGAGAAAGGGGUAAACAGGGGAUGCUUGGAGCUUUAAUUCAUGAAACAUAUUUCCUCUAUUUAUUUUUAGAUGAUCAAAAUAGAAAAAUAUUAAGCGGGAUCCCCAUAAAAGUGAAUUUAUAAAGUUGUUUUGUCUCCAUGUUUUACUCAACUCUAACUGGACAUUUCUGAUUCUUCACUCUGGGAUGGAGUCGACCUUUUUGGAUCCACCGUCUCAGAAAUAUGAUAUUCUUCCUGAUGUGUCCUCUCUUUGGUGAGGUGAAGAUGGACUGUUCCCUGUGAAGCUGUGGUCUCUGAUCCGCCUGCUGGAGCUGCAGAGUUCUGCAGCAGAUCAACACAAAGCUCGGAAAAACGUUCCUGACAGACUGGCUUUAUUUCAACCUUCAGUCUAAACAGACACGGAAUGGAGACGACAACUACCACCAGAUGUAGGGAAUCAAGUGCAAAUCAAACUGUUGAAUCGAUCGAUCCUUUGAGCUUCCUCCUAAACGCAGCAGAUCAGAACCGGGAAGCCCACUUCAUCUCCAGCAGAGGAAUGUGAAGAGUGCAGAUCUGCGUAUCCGUCCUCACAGAGUCCAGAGUCGGAUCCAAUCGGAGACUCUACUCCCUCUUCUUCUUCUUCUUCUGUUUGGUUUGCGGGCUCUGGUUCCAGUAGAACAGAACCUGCAUGGCGAUGAUGCCGUUGCAGGCGGAGGAGAUGACGUAAGUCAAGGCCAUCAGCGUGUCUCCGGUUUCCUGGAAGAACAGGAGAAGAACGUCUGCUUCUGCUCCACAUGAGGAAGAGGCGGGGCCUGUGGCAGAGCGCGUACCUGGAUGGAGGUGAAGAUCCGAGCCAGGGAUCCGGCAAACAGCAGGAAGACGGAGAUGGCAGAGAGCUGACCCGUGUGUCCGUUCUGGAAGUUUGUGGCGGCUUGGAUCAACUGGAGACACAAGAAUCAAGACGUUUGAGCUUCAAACAGAAAAUCCUCUCAGUUCUGUGGAGAAGCGAAGAGGGGGCGCUGGUUCAAAGUGUGAACAUGUGAAUUCUCCAACAUCCAGGAUCAAAGCAGGAAGAUCUUUUCACAGGAUCGAGUGGCACUCACUCUUCCGAUGAUGAUGGCCGGCAUGUUGAAGGCCUG